rnacentral:rRNA from 1 species
UACGGAGGGUGCAAGCGUUAUCCGGAUUCACUGGGUUUAAAGGGUGCGUAGGAGGGCAGGUAAGUCAGUGGUGAAAUCUCCGAGCUUAACUCGGAAACUGCCGUUGAUACUAUCUGUCUUGAAUACCGUGGAGGUGAGCGGAAUAUGUCGUGUAGCGGUGAAAUGCUUAGAUAUGACAUAGAACACCAAUUGCGAAGGCAGCUCGCUACACGAAUAUUGACUCUGAGGCACGAAAGCGUGGGGAUCAAACAGG